rnacentral:lncRNA from 1 species
AUCACCAAGAACAAGCCUCAUGUGCUGGUGUUGUUGGUAGUCUUGAUUGCUUCUUCAGUGGCAGAGAAAACUUCUGUUGUGGAAGGAAGAACACUUUCCCUGAAACCCCUUCAAGGUAAAAGAAUUAAUGAUUCAGAAUUUGUAUCCCUUUUUGUACCUGUGUGUGGCAUGGUUGCUAAUUGUGUGUGUGUGUGUGGUGAAAUUGCAGGGUUCUCAAAGAAUUUAGCAGAGCUUGGAGUUGUUUGCAAGUGCUGUGAUGGAGGUGGAGGUGACUGCAGAAGCACAUGGACAGAGUCUUGCUCUAACCUGCAAUGUUCUCCUUGGAAAUCACACUUGAUAAUCUCAUAGAUCUUUUCUGGCUUUUGUUUGCUGUUUGUUGAACUCUUCAAUCUGGUUUUAUGUUCUC